GUUGGCUGACCCUACAAUGGGGUAAGCCUAUAAUGGGGUGACCCUAUAGCUGAGUGACCCCAUGGUUGGGUCUCCCUAUGGCUGGAUUCCCCUUCAAUGGGGUGACCCCAUAGUGGUUGGCUGACCCUAUAAUGGGGUGACCCCAUAGGGGUUGGGUGCCCCUUCAAUGGGGUGACCCCAUGGUUGGGUCUCCCUAUGGUUGGCUGACCCUUCAAUGGGGUGACCCCACAGUUGGGUGCCCCUUCAGUGGGGUGACCCCAUAGUUGGGUCUCUCUAUGGUUGGAUAACCCUACAAUGGGGUUUACCCCAUAGUUGGGUCUCCCUAUGGUUGGCUGACCCUACAAUGGGGUAAGCCUAUAAUGGGGUGACCCUAUAGCAGAGAGACCCCAUGGUUGGGUGAUGACCCCACAAUUGGGUGCCCCUUCAAUGGGGUUUACCCCAUAGUUGGGUCUUCCUAUGGCUGGAUAACCCUACAAUGGGGUGACCCCAUAGGGGUUGGGUGCCCCUUCAAUGGGGUGACCCCAUAAUUGGGUCUCCCUAUGGCUGGAUAACCUUACAAUGGGGCGACCCUAUAGCACAGAGACCCCAUGGUUGGGUGCCCCCCUCACUGUGCCCAUGGAUUGUUGUGUCAUUGUAUCAUUGUGUCGUUGUAUCGUUGUGUCAUUGUAUCGUUGUAUCGUUGUAUCGCUGUGUCAUUGUAUCAUUGUGUCGUUGUAUCUUUGUAUCGUUGUAUCGUUGUGUCGUUGUGUCGUUGUAUCGCUGUGUCGUUGUAUCGCUGUAUCGUUGUAUCGUUGUAUCUUUGUAUCGCUGUGUCGUUGUAUCGCUGUGUCGUUGUAUCGCUGUGUCGUUGUAUCAUUGUAUCGUUGUAUCAUUGUAUCAUUGUAUUGUUGUGUUGUUGUAUCGCUGUAUCAUUGUGUUGUUGUGUCGUUGUGUUGUUGUAUCAUUGUAUCAUUGUAUCAUUGUGUCAUUGUAUCGUUGUGUCGUUGUAUCAUUGUGUUGUUGUGUUGUUGUAUUGUUGUGUUGUUGUGUCAUUGUAUCAUUGUAUCAUUGUGUCAUUGUAUCAUUGUAUCAUUGUGUCGUUGUGUUCUUGUAUCGUUGUGUUCUUGUGUUGUUGUGUCGUUGUAUCGUUGUGUUGUUGUAUCAUUGUAUCAUUGUAUCAUUGUGUCAUUGUGUCAUUGUAUCAUUGUAUCAUUGUAUCAUUGUGUCAUUGUAUCAUUGUAUCAUUGUGUUGUUGUAUCAUUGUAUCAUUGUGUCAUUGUAUCAUUGUGUCAUUGUAUCAUUGUGUCAUUGUGUCAUUGUGUCAUUGUGUCAUUGUAUCAUUGUGUCAUUGUAUCAUUGUGUCAUUGUGUCAUUGUAUCAUUGUGUUGUUGUAUCAUUGUGUCAUUGUAUCAUUGUGUCAUUGUAUCAUUGUAUCA
rnacentral:lncRNA from 1 species